rnacentral:rRNA from 1 species
AAGGAAUAUUGGACAAUGGAGGGAACUCUGAUCCAGCCAUGCCGCGUGAAGGACGAAGGCGCUCAGCGUUGUAAACUUCUUUUGAAUGGGAACAAAACACCGGACUUGUCCGGGACUGAGGGUACCAUUAGAAUAAGCACCGGCUAACUCCGUGCCAGCAGCCGCGGUAAUACGGAGGGUGCGAGCGUUAUCCGGAAUCACUGGGUUUAAAGGGUGCGUAGGCGGCCAGAUAAGUCAGUCGUGAAAUCGCUGGGCUCAACCCAUGCAAUUGCGAUUGAUACUGUUUGGCUUGAAUUGGGUUCAGGCAGGCGGAAUGUGGCAUGUAGCGGUGAAAUGCUUAGAUAUGCCAUAGAACACCGAUUGCGAAGGCAGCUUGCUGGGCCCAUAUUGACGCUGAGGCACGAAAGCGUGGGGAGCAAAC